rnacentral:lncRNA from 1 species
GGGCUUGCCAAUGUUCCUGCAUGGCUAAGUGCCUGGGUUCGUCCUAAUCGAGCUGAACACUAGUCACUGGGUUCCAUGGUUCUCUUCCAUGACCCACAACUUCUAAUAGAGCUAUAACAAGCACUGCAUGGCCCAAGAUUCCAUUCCUUGGAAUCCGUGAGGCCAAGAACCCCAGGUCAGAGAACACGAGGCUUGCCACCAUCUUGGAAGUGGCCCACCGCCAUUUUGGAAGUGGCCAACCACCAUCUUGGGAGCUCUGGGAGCAAGGACCCCUGGUAACAUUUUGGCGACCACGAAGGGACAUCCCAAGUGAUCCAUGCAAGGCUGGACUUAAAUGCUUCUGGGCAGAAAUCCGGAACAAUAAGGAGGCUCAUAUUGUCAACUUUUCUACUCUCAUCGUUCCUGUUACACAAUGUCUGAAAGAAAACAUUUCAAACAUUACAUCAAGUUCUUCAUUUGUUUCUUCUGCGUGGCUCUCAUGAUGACCUUAGUGUUCUCAUAAUUAGAGAUACUGAAGACCUUACCUUCUCUGCCAUGUGAGGAUACAGGAUGAAGGUGUCACCUGCAAGCCAGGAAGAAAGUCCUCAUGAAGACCUGACCAUAUGGCAUCCUGAUGUUGGGCUUCUGGCCUCCAAAAUCAUGAUAAAUAAAUUUCUG